rnacentral:tRNA from 1 species
GCCGAGGUAGCAAAGUCCGGCCCAAUGCGCCGGCCUUGAGAGCCGGUGGUGCUUAUGCACCGCGGGAGUUCAAAUCUCCCCCUCGGCG